rnacentral:rRNA from 1 species
GCCAAAUAUCGCACACAAACAUACACUUAAAAUAAAACAAAAUAUUUGACCAACCUAGUAGAUACGAUCGAACAGUACACCACACAAGUACCGUAAGGGAAUCAACCAAGCAAGCGACAAAAAGCAAAGAUAAACCCUUGUACCUUUCGCAUCAUGGUCUAGCAAGAAACCAAAGACAAGAAGAAUCACAGCCUACACCCCGAAACCAGAUGAGCUACUUUAAAGCAGCCUAAUGGGCACACCCUUCUCUGUAGCAAAAGAGUGGGAAGACUUAAAAGUAGAAGUGAAACGCCUACCGAAUCUGGAGAUAGCUGGCUACCCAAAAAAGAAUAUAAGUUCAACCACAGAGAAAAAUAGAAACCAUUCUUAACCCUGCGGACAAUCAAUAGAGGUACAGCCCUAUUGAAACAGGAUACAACCUGAAUUUGAGAGAACAAAACACAACUUCACCCUGUAGGCCCCAAAGCAGCCACCAAACAAAAUAUCGUCAAAGAAUUCCACAACCUAAACCCAAACCAAACAUAAAACUCCAAACCAACUAAGGGUAAACCCAUAAUAAUGAGUACUAUUAUGCUAGAACUAAUAAUAAGACAACCUCUCUACCAUGCACCUUUCCACUAUACUGAACUACCACUAGCCAUUAACAGACCACACCAGGUAUAAACUAAACACUACACAACUUAAAACAAACUGUUACCCCAACACAGGCGCAUUAAAAAGAAAGAUCUACUAUUAUAAAAGGAACUCGGCAAACAAAGACCCCAACUGUUUAACAAAAACAUAACCUUUAGCCUAAACCAAUAUUAAAGGCAACGCCUGCCCGGUGAACAAUUAAACGGCCGCGGUACCCUAACCGUGCAAAGGUAGCAUAAUCAUUUGUCUACUAAUUAUAGACCUGUAUGAAAGGCAAAAUGAGGGCCUAGCUGUCUCUUAUAAUAAAUCAAUUAAACUGAUCUCCUAGUAAAAAAGCUAGAAUUAAACCAUAAGACCAGAAGACCCUGUGAAGCUUUAACUAAACUAUUAAACCCCCUAAUAGCUACUUUCGGUUGGGGCGACCUUGGAAAAAAAAAGAACUUCCAACAAUACGACCUAACUCGUACUACCAAAUCAGGCCUACAAGCCACAUAACGACCCAGCAAAGCUGAUAAUCGAACCAAGUUACUCCAGGGAUAACAGCGCAAUCCUCUUCAAGAGCCCAUAUCAAAAAGAGGGUUUACGACCUCGAUGUUGGAUCAGGACAUCCUAAUGGUGCAGAAGCUAUUAAGGGUUCGUUUGUUCAACGAUCAAUAGUCCUACGUGAUCUGAGUUA